UCAGUACCCACUGUCUCUGAUCAGAUGGUCGUCGCAGGCCACCGUGUGGAAAUCUCUUCCGGCGGCGGUGGCCACCAAAACACAAACCAGAUAUCUCAUUAGGAUCGUGUUCAGCUUCUUAAACUGAAUUCACUCUCAAUUUCAAACAAAAUUGGAUCUAACAUCAAAAAUCAAAUUAAAUAUCUCAAGAACCCUAGGGGUUUGAUCACGAAUUACAUAGCAAGGCUCAAGACUCAGUGCACUAACUGUUAGGGCUUUGAGUCGCCCUAAGAUAAGCUACAAGAUGAUGACAUGGUUGUAGUGAAAGGGUGAGGAUGGACCUACCUCCGAAGUUGUGGAUCACUCCAUCCAAAUGUUGAAUCGGAGAGGACGAAAUAAGCGACGAAAAAUCACUUGGUUAGCAGAAUUAGUGAAUGGAUAGAAACUGGUGUGCUUGGGCUGCGAAAUGAAUGCAGUGUCAUAAAACUGGAAUGGGUUUGUUCAUGAGUCCAUUAAAGCCAAUUGAUAGCUAUCAAUUUAUUGCAUUGCUAUGUUAAUGGAUUAGUCUGUUUGUUCUAUUUUUCCCUGUUGGAGUUUGAAGGAAAUCUGCAUGUUGAGUUGUAACUUGUGGAAUUGAUGCUUGUUUGAUGUUUAGCUCAAUUUAUGAACACACUGGCCUGCUGACUGAUCAAUGCAUGCUGACUGUUACAUGCUUGCUAGCUAUGAAAUGAUGACCAUGAUAUAGGGUCGAGCUUAUGUAGCAUCAACAUGUGUUGAUUACUGCAACGUAUGGAAUGCUCAGGACCUGAUGCAAGUCAGGUAUGUGCAAAAUAAUAUGAAUUGUUUUUGUUGCAUAUUGCUUAAGAUAUCAUGGCUUGGUGGUGGAAAGUCAAGGUGUUGUGGUUUUGGUUGCUAGGCUUGCAUUAUUAAAUGGUAUGACCAUAGUUUCAAGGCAAGUUCCAAAACAUGUCAAAUUCACACAUAAAUGAGGUCUCUCAUUCAUGGAAUCAAUGACCAUGGAACAUCAUUGAAUGCAAGGAUGAUGAAGAUGUAAUCAGUUUUAGGGGAUGAAAAGCAUGUUCGUUGACUUUGGUCAACUGGUUAAUGAAAAAGUCAACAGUUGACCAAAAGUCAACUUUUUCAAAACUUGUAUUUUUUGUGUUUUCUUUUGUAAAAUGAUGUAAAUGCCAAUUUGUAUGAAUGAAUGGACAUUGAUUUGAAUAAAAUGUUCUUUAUGAUGGAA